CCGGGGAGGCGAUGCCCGGCCCCGGGGCCUCUCGCCCUUAUCGGACGCCGCUCCCGCAGCACGGGGUCGGCGCUGCCCCUCCGGCCGGGGCUCCCCGCGGGGCGGCUCCCGGCCCUUCUCCUCCCCGGGGGUGUCCGCCGGUCGGCCGAGGCGAGAGGAUCCAACAAUAAAGUAGAUUGAAAUAAGUCUGCGGUUGCAACCAAAGGCCACCCGCUUUCCAGUGCUAUACAGAGGGAGCCGUCAGCAGCCACCCCUCUGAAUGUGCGCUUUGUUCCUGCCAACAAGGAAACGAGUGGGCUUCCACUGGGGAGAAUGCGGCCCUUCUGUCGCACGGAGCUGGGGGGCACCGGGCCCGGCGGCGGUGGAGGGGUCACGGGGCCGCGGGGUGCGGGCCGCCCCGGGUCCGGGAGGGGAAGGGAAGGGAAGGGAAGGGAAGGGAAGGGAAGGGAAGGGAAGGGAAGGGGGGACGCGGGGCGAUGCUCUCCCAGCGCCCGGCCCCGGGGCGAGGGUGCAGGGGGACGGGGUGCAGCGGCGAGCCCCAAGCACGGAGCGGUCACCUCGCCGCGUCCAACGCCGGCGCCAGUGGCGGGGAGCAGGGCCGGAACGCCGGGCUUUCGCUUUCAAGCAGGAUGUGUGUAACGGGGAGCAUUUCUUAGCUCGCCUGAUUUUUAACUUCCUCUAAACCUCUGGUGUUGUUUCUUUUUUUUUUUUUUCUCCCCUCUCUCUCUCUCUCUCUGUUCGGAGAGCGGCAACGUGAGGCCGGGAGGAAGCACGCUGCUGCCGUGCGAAAUGCGGACCAUGUGUGGGAGCGAUGUGCCCGGCGGCACACGGCGGCGAGGGACGGGGCAGGGCCGGGCCGGGUCCCUCUGCUGUGUGCCGCCGUCCCGGGGUCGUACGGCACAGCCGGCGCGAUACCGACUUAUGGCCGUGCGCCGUUCCCGUGAUGGUCGGGAUCCUUUCGGUCUGAGGCUUUCGCGACGUGCUUUGUGUUCGCCCACCUCGAGGCUCUGCGGGCAAAGGGUUAAAUCUUCGGAGGGCUGGAAGGAAGCAGCCGAGUUUCAGCAAAGAAGAAAAAAAAAAAAGGAAAAUAAAGAAAGGUGGGGGAGAAGAAAGGAGUGGGAGCGGGGAGAGGCGAGGGCCGCACGAUGCCCUGAUCAUCCCUCUGGCUGCCGGAGAAUAAUAAUUAAUCCCAAUCGUAACCCGCGGCCUUUCUCUCCUAUUGGGCUCCGCCAGGAAGCGCCUCCGGCCCUGGGGCUCUCCGUUCCCUCUCCGCCCCCCCCUCCCCGUCCUUUCCUCGGGCAGAGAGAGGAGAAAGGGCCGCGCUGCCCACCGCCGCCCGCGCUCCUCCGAUCGCCGCGCACAGCUGUGGCAGCGCGGUGCCUCUUCCAGCGCUCGCUCCUCUCUCCCGGCUCCGGCUCGGCACC
ensembl:lncRNA